AAACAUCGCUCUCUGUACAAAAAUAGAGAGUCCAGCCUGCCCAGUGAAUUUUUUUCAACGGCCGCAGUACCCUGACUGUGCAAAGGUAGCAUAAUCACUUGCCCCAUAAUUGGGGGCUAGAAUGAAAGGCUAAACAAGAACAAAACUGUCUCUAAAUAAUUCUGUAUAAAUUAAUCUAUAAGUGAAGAAGCUUAUAUCAAAUUAAAAGACGAGAAGACCCUAUCGAGCUUAAAAAAUAAUUUAUAUUAUUAUAUAAUUUUUUUUUGGUUGGGGCAACCAAGGAACCUCAAACUUCCUAAAAAUAAAUUAAAUAUUAGAUCCAAUACCAUUGAUUAAUAAAUAAGCUACCGUAGGGAUAACAGCGUAAUCUUCUUUAAGAGUCCUUAUCAAAAAGAAACCUUGCGACCUCGAUGUUGGACUAAAAUUUCCUAAAUGAUGCAGAAGUCUUUAAGGGUUGGUCUGUUCGACCAUCAAAAUUUUACAUGAUCUGA
rnacentral:rRNA from 1 species